rnacentral:rRNA from 1 species
UACGUAGGUGGCAAGCGUUGUCCGGAUUUAUUGGGCGUAAAGAGCGCGCAGGCGGUCGUAUAAGUCGAAUGUGAAAGCCCCCGGCUCAACUGGGGAGGGUCAUUCGAUACUGUUCGACUCGAAGGCAGGAGAGGGAAGUGGAAUUCCGGGUGUAGUGGUGAAAUGCGUAGAUAUCCGGAGGAACACCAGUGGCGAAGGCGACUUUCUGGCCUGUUCUUGACGCUGAGGCGCGAAAGCUAGGGGAGCAAACGGG